UACGUAGGGUGCGAGCGUUAAUCGGAAUUACUGGGCGUAAAGCGUGCGCAGGUGGUCAUGCAAGACAGAUGUGAAAUCCCCGGGCUUAACCUGGGAACUGCGUUUGAAACUACAAGGCUAGAGUGUGGCAGAGGGGGGUGGAAUUCCACGUGUAGCAGUGAAAUGCGUAGAGAUGUGGAGGAACACCGAUGGCGAAGGCAGGUCUCUGGGCUAUAACUGACGCUCAUGCACGAAAGCGUGGGGAGCAAACAGG
rnacentral:rRNA from 1 species